rnacentral:rRNA from 1 species
GUCUUCUUGUUAAGAAUAGGAAGUCUGACCUGCCCGGUGAUUUAAUUUAACGGCCGCGGUAUUUUUGACCGUGCAAAGGUAGCAUAAUCAUUAGUCUUUUAAUAGGAGGCUGGUAUGAAGGGUUUGACGAAGUGUUAACUGUCUCAGUUAAUUUAAUAUUAAAAUUUAACUUUUUAGUCAAAAGGCUAAAAUAUAAUUGAAAGACGAGAAGACCCUAUAGAGUUUAAUAAUUUAUUUGUAAUUUAUUAUAAUAAUUUUUAUUUUAUAAAUUAAUUAUUUUGUUGGGGUGACAAAAAUAUAAAUGUAACUUUUUUAUUUAUUUAUCAUUGAUUUAUGUUUAUUAGAUCCAAUCUUAUUGAUUGUUAGAAUAAGUUACCUUAGGGAUAACAGCGUAAUCUUUCCUUGGAGUUCAUAUUUGCGGAAAGGCUUGCGACCUCGAUGUUGGAUUAAGAUUAUAAUCAGGUGCAGUAGCUUGAUAUAUAGGUCUGUUCGACCUUUAAACUCUU